GACGAACGCUGGCGGCGUGCCUAACACAUGCAAGUCGAACGGAAAGGCCAUGCUCUUGUGGGGUGCUCGAGUGGCGAACGGGUGAGUAACACGCGAGUAACCUGCCCCUGUCAUUGGGAUAACUUCAGGAAAAUGGGGCUAAUACCGGAGAGGAGAUCCUGCUGCACGGUGGGGGUUGGAAAGUUUCGGCGGUUGGGGAUGGACUAGAGGCUUAGGCGCUUGUUGGUGGGGUAGUGGCUUACAAAGGCUUUGAAGGGUAGCCGGCCUGAGAGGGUGACCGGCGUCCAUGGUACUGAGGUACGGCCCAGUCUCCUACGGGAGGCAGUAGUGGGGAAUAUUGCGCAGUGGGCGCAAGCCUGUGACAGCAGCGCCGCGUUCGGGAUAACGUGCUACGGGUUAUGAACCACUUUCGCCUUAAACGUAGCCGUAGUGACGGUAAUGGGUCAGGAAGCACCGGCUAACUACGUG
rnacentral:rRNA from 1 species